rnacentral:rRNA from 1 species
AUCGAACGCUGGCGGCAUGCCUAACACAUGCAAGUCGAACGAGUGGCGGACGGGUGAGUAAUGUCUGGGAAACUGCCUGCUGGAGGGGGAUAACUACUGGAAACGGUAGCUAAUACCGCAUACCAUCAGAUGUGCCCAGAUGGGAUUAGCUUGUUGGUGGGGUAACGGCUCACCAAGGCGACGAUCCCUAGCUGGUCUGAGAGGAUGACCAGCCACACUGGAACUGAGACACGGUCCAGACUCCUACGGGAGGCAGCAGUGGGGAAUAUUGCACAAUGGGGGCAAGCCUGAUGCAGCCAUGCCGAGUGUAUGAAGAAGGCCUUCGGGUUGUAAAGUACGUUUAGCGGGGAGGCGUUACCUGCAGAAGAAGCACCGGCUAACUACGUGCCAGCAGCCGCGGUAAUAC